UAGGGAAUCUUCCACAAUGGGCGCAAGCCUGAUGGAGCAACACCGCGUGAGUGAAGAAGGGUUUCGGCUCGUAAAGCUCUGUUGUUAAGGAAGAACACGUAUGAGAGUAACUGUUCAUACGUUGACGGUAUUUAACCAGAAAGUCACGGCUAACUACGUGUCAG
rnacentral:rRNA from 1 species